CAGCCGCCGCGGUAAUACGAGGGGGGCAAGCGUUGUUCGGAAUUAUUGGGCGUAAAGGGCGCGUAGGCGGUUUGGCAAGUUUCGUGUGAAAUCUUCGGGCUCAACUCGAAGUCUGCACGGAAAACUGCCGGGCUUGAGUAUGGGAGAGGUGAGUGGAAUUUCCGGUGUAGCGGUGAAAUACGUAGAUAUCGGAAGGAACACCUGUGGCGAAAGCGGCUCACUGGACCAUUUCUGACGCUGAUGCACGAAAGCUAGGGGAGCAAACAGGAUUAGAGACCCCCGUAGUCCCUGUCUCUUAUAC
rnacentral:rRNA from 1 species